AUUGAACGCUGGCGGCAGGCCUAACACAUGCAAGUAGAGCGGAGCGGAGGACGGGGGAGUAAUGCCUAGGAAUAUGCCUGGUAGUGGGGGAUAACGUACGGUAACGGGAGCUAAUACCGCAUACUAUCAGAUGAGGCUAGGUGGGACUAGCUUGUUGGUGGGGUAAAGGCCAACCAAGGCGACGAUCCGUAACUGGUCUGAGAGGAUGAUCAGUCACACUGGAACUGAGACACGGUCCAGACUCCUACGGGAGGCAGCAGUGGGGAAUAUUGGACAAGGGGCGAAAGCCUUAUCCAGCCAUGCCGCGUGUGUGAAGAAGGUCUUCGGAUUGUAAAGCACUUUAAGUUAGGAGGCGUUACCAACAGAAUAAGCACCGGCUAACUUCGUGCCAGCAGCCGCGGUAAUUC
rnacentral:rRNA from 1 species